UUGCUGGCCUUCAAUGGGGGCAUGUGCACACUCUGUUUACACAUCCACUCACACCUGUGCACCCUCUGUAGUUCUAUGGCGUGGGGGGCCCAGCCCUCCUGCUGUGGUUCUAUGUCUUUACACACACACUGUGAUGAAGUCUCAUGGAAUGUACAUCGCGUUUAACGCAAUACAAUACAACUUUCAGCAACGGAUCUCUUGGCUCUCGCAUCGAUGAAGAACGCAGCGAAAUGCGAUAAGUAAUGUGAAUUGCAGAAUUCAGUGAAUCAUCGAAUCUUUGAACGCACCUUGCGCCCUUUGGCUAUUCCGAAGGGCAUGCCUGUUUGAGUAUCAUGAACACCUCAACUCUCAUGGUUUUGCCAUGAUGAGCUUGGACUUUGGGGGUCUUGCUGGCCUAUGGUCGGCUCCUCUUAAAUGAAUCAGCUUGCCAGUGUUUGGUGGCAUCCCAGGUGUGAUAACUAUCUACGCUUGUGGUUUUCCAUCAAGUAACCUUCAGUGAUGGAGGUUCACUGGGGCUCAUAAAGGCCUCUCCUCAGUGAGGAAUGGCUCCUUUUGAAUGUUUGAUCUCAAAUCAGGUAGGACUACCCGCUGAACUUAAGCAUAUCAAUAAGCGGAGGAAAAGAAACUAACAAGGAUUCCCCUAGUAACUGCGAGUGAAGCGGGAAGAGCUCAAAUUUAAAAUCUGGCGUGCCUCUGGUC
rnacentral:rRNA from 1 species